UGUUAGUGGAAGCGUCUGGAAAGGCGUGCGAUACAGGGUGACAGCCCCGUACACAAAAAUGCACAUAUUGUGAGCUUGAUGAGUAGGGCGGGACACGUGGUAUCCUGUCUGAAUAUGGGGGGACCAUCCUCCAAGGCUAAAUACUCCUGACUGACCGAUAGUGAACCAGUACCGUGAGGGAAAGGCGAAAAGAACCCCGGCGAGGGGAGUGAAAAAGAACCUGAAACCGUGUACGUACAAGCAGUGGGAGCACGCUUAGGCGUGUGACUGCGUACCUUUUGUAUAAUGGGUCAGCGACUUAUAUUCUGUAGCAAGGUUAACCGAAUAGGGGAGCCGAAGGGAAACCGAGUCUUAACUGGGCGUUAAGUUGCAGGGUAUAGACCCGAAACCCGGUGAUCUAGCCAUGGGCAGGUUGAAGGUUGGGUAACACUAACUGGAGGACCGAACCGACUAAUGUUGAAAAAUUAGCGGAUGACUUGUGGCUGGGGGUGAAAGGCCAAUCAAACCGGGAGAUAGCUGGUUCUCCCCGAAAGCUAUUUAGGUAGCGCCUCGUGAAUUCAUCUCCGGGGGUAGAGCACUGUUUCGGCAAGGGGGUCAUCCCGACUUACCAACCCGAUGCAAACUGCGAAUACCGGAGAAUGUUAUCACGGGAGACACACGGCGGGUGCUAACGUCCGUCGUGAAGAGGGAAACAACCCAGACCGCCAGCUAAGGUCCCAAAGUCAUGGUUAAGUGGGAAACGAUGUGGGAAGGCCCAGACAGCCAGGAUGUUGGCUUAGAAGCAGCCAUCAUUUAAAGAAAGCGUAAUAGCUCACUGGUCGAGUCGGCCUGCGCGGAAGAUGUAACGGGGCUAAACCAUGCACCGAAGCUGCGGCAGCGACGCUUAUGCGUUGUUGGGUAGGGGAGCGUUCUGUAAGCCUGCGAAGGUGUGCUGUGAGGCAUGCUGGAGGUAUCAGAAGUGCGAAUGCUGACAUAAGUAACGAUAAAGCGGGUGAAAAGCCCGCUCGCCGGAAGACCAAGGGUUCCUGUCCAACGUUAAUCGGGGCAGGGUGAGUCGACCCCUAAGGCGAGGCCGAAAGGCGUAGUCGAUGGGAAACAGGUUAAUAUUCCUGUACUUGGUGUUACUGCGAAGGGGGGACGGAGAAGGCUAUGUUGGCCGGGCGACGGUUGUCCCGGUUUAAGCGUGUAGGCUGGUUUUCCAGGCAAAUCCGGAAAAUCAAGGCUGAGGCGUGAUGACGAGGCACUACGGUGCUGAAGCAACAAAUGCCCUGCUUCCAGGAAAAGCCUCUAAGCAUCAGGUAACAUCAAAUCGUACCCCAAACCGACACAGGUGGUCAGGUAGAGAAUACCAAGGCGCUUGAGAGAACUCGGGUGAAGGAACUAGGCAAAAUGGUGCCGUAACUUCGGGAGAAGGCACGCUGAUAUGUAGGUGAAGUCCCUUGCGGAUGGAGCUGAAAUCAGUCGAAGAUACCAGCUGGCUGCAACUGUUUAUUAAAAACACAGCACUGUGCAAACACGAAAGUGGACGUAUACGGUGUGACGCCUGCCCGGUGCCGGAAGGUUAAUUGAUGGGGUCAGCGCAAGCGAAGCUCUUGAUCGAAGCCCCGGUAAACGGCGGCCGUAACUAUAACGGUCCUAAGGUAGCGAAAUUCCUUGUCGGGUAAGUUCCGACCUGCACGAAUGGCGUAAUGAUGGCCAGGCUGUCUCCACCCGAGACUCAGUGAAAUUGAACUCGCUGUGAAGAUGCAGUGUACCCGCGGCAAGACGGAAAGACCCCGUGAACCUUUACUAUAGCUUGACACUGAACAUUGAGCCUUGAUGUGUAGGAUAGGUGGGAGGCUUUGAAGUGUGGACGCCAGUCUGCAUGGAGCCGGCCUUGAAAUACCACCCUUUAAUGUUUGAUGUUCUAACGUGGACCCGUGAUCCGGGUUGCGGACAGUGUCUGGUGGGUAGUUUGACUGGGGCGGUCUCCUCCUAAAGAGUAACGGAGGAGCACGAAGGUUGGCUAAUCCUGGUCGGACAUCAGGAGGUUAGUGCAAUGGCAUAAGCCAGCUUGACUGCGAGCGUGACGGCGCGAGCAGGUGCGAAAGCAGGUCAUAGUGAUCCGGUGGUUCUGAAUGGAAGGGCCAUCGCUCAACGGAUAAAAGGUACUCCGGGGAUAACAGGCUGAUACCGCCCAAGAGUUCAUAUCGACGGCGGUGUUUGGCACCUCGAUGUCGGCUCAUCACAUCCUGGGGCUGAAGUAGGUCCCAAGGGUAUGGCUGUUCGCCAUUUAAAGUGGUACGCGAGCUGGGUUUAGAACGUCGUGAGACAGUUCGGUCCCUAUCUGCCGUGGGCGCUGGAGAACUGAGGGGGGCUGCUCCUAGUACGAGAGGACCGGAGUGGACGCAUCACUGGUGUUCGGGUUGUCAUGCCAAUGGCACUGCCCGGUAGCUAAAUGCGGAAGAGAUAAGUGCUGAAAGCAUCUAAGCACGAAACUUGCCCCGAGAUGAGUUCUCCCUGACCCUUUAAGGGUCCUGAAGGAACGUUGAAGACGACGACGUUGAUAGGCCGGGUGUGUAAGCGCAGCGAUGCGUUGAGCUAACCGGUACUAAUGAACCGUGAGGCUUAACCUUACAACGCCGAAG
rnacentral:rRNA from 1 species